rnacentral:rRNA from 1 species
UACAGAGGUCUCAAGCGUUGUUCGGAUUCAUUGGACGUAAAGGGUGCGUAGGCGGCGCGGUAAGUCGGGUGUGAAAUCUCGGGGCUUAACUCCGAAACUGCAUUCGAUACUGCCGUGCUUGAGGACUGGAGAGGAGACUGGAAUUUACGGUGUAGCGGUGAAAUGCGUAGAUAUCGUAAGGAAGACCAGUGGCGAAGGCGGGUCUCUGGACAGUUCCUGACGCUGAGGCACGAAGGUCAGGGGAGCAAACGGG